UUGAUCCUGGCUCAGAAUGAACGCUGGCGGCGUGCUUAACACAUGCAAGUCGAACGAGAAAUCUUUAGCUUGCUAGAGAAAGUAAAGUGGCGCACGGGUGAGUAACGCGUGGGUAAUCUGCCUCCGAAUCGGGGAUAACAUUGCGAAAGCGAUGCUAAUACCGGAUAAAAUCUGGUUGGCUUCGGUGAACCGGAUCAAAGGUGGUCUCUUUAUAAAAGCUACCGUUUGGAGAUGAGCUCGCGUACCAUUAGCUAGUUGGUGAGGUAAAGGCUCACCAAGGCGACGAUGGUUAGCUGGUCUGAGAGGAUGAUCAGCCACACCGGAACUGGAACACGGUCCGGACUCCUACGGGAGGCAGCAGUGAGGAAUUUUGCGCAAUGGGGGAAACCCUGACGCAGCAACGCCGCGUGAGUGAUGAAGGCUUUCGGGUCGUAAAGCUCUGUCAGGUGGGAAGAACCCACCAAGUGUUAAGACCACUUGGUGCUGACGGUACCACCGAAGGAAGCACCGGCUAACUCCGUGCCAGCAGCCGCGGUAAUACGGGGGGUGCGAGCGUUAUUCGGAAUCAUUGGGCGUAAAGGGCGCGCAGGCGGUUUUGUAAGUCAGAUGUGAAAUCCCGGGGCUUAACCCCGGAAGUGCAUAUGAAACUAUGAGACUUGAGUAUGGGAGAGGGAAGCGGAAUUCCUGGUGUAGCGGUGAAAUGCGUAGAUAUCAGGAGGAACACCGGUGGCGAAGGCGGCUUCCUGGACCAAUACUGACGCUGAGGCGCGAAGGCGUGGGGAGCGAACAGGAUUAGAUACCCUGGUAGUCCACGCAGUAAACGUUGAUCACUAGGUGUAGCGGGUAUUGAC
rnacentral:rRNA from 1 species